rnacentral:sRNA from 1 species
CCCUAGCCCAGAUUGCAGCGGCAUCCUCUUAUUGUAGCGAUAGCGGAAACAAGAGAUACAGCGAAAAGCUGGAAGUAGC